AGAGUUUGAUCAUGGCUCAGGAUGAACGCUGGCGGCGUGCUUAAUACAUGCAAGUCGAACGGAGACUGUAGCAAUACUGUCUUAGUGGCGAACGGGUGAGUAACGCGUUGGUGACCUGCCCCGAAGAGGGGGAUAACAGUCCGAAAGGAUUGCUAAUACCCCAUGUGGUCGUUUGGAUUAGAUGCCUUAUGACUAAACGGAUUUAUUCGCUUCGGGAGGGGCCUGCGUCCCAUCAGCUAGUUGGUAGGGUAAUAGCCUACCAAGGCGAUGACGGGUAGGGGACCUGAGAGGGUGGCCCCCCACAAUGGAACUGAAACACGGUCCAUACACCUACGGGUGGCAGCAGUAGGGAAUAUUGGUAAUCUGGGAAACCGGGAACCAGCAACGCCGCGUGCGCGAUGAAGGCCUUCGGGUUGUAAAGCGCUUUUUAAAGGGAUGAGGAAGGACAGUACCUUUAGAAUAAGCCUCGGCUAACUACGUGCCAGCAGCCGCGGUAAAACGUAGGAGGCGAGCGUUAUCCGGAUUUACUGGGCGUAAAGCGUGUGCAGGCGGUUUGAUAAGUUGGAUGUGAAAGCUCCUGGCUUAACUGGGAGAGGUCGUUCAAAACUAUCAGACUAGAGAGUGGUAGAGGGAGAUGGAAUUCCGCGUGUAGUGGUGAAAUGCGUAGAUAUGCGGAGGAACACCAGUGGCGAAAGCGGUCUCCUGGCCCAUUUCUGACGCUCAGACACGAAAGCUAAGGUAGCAAACGGGAUUAGAGACCCCGGUAGUCUUAGCUGUAAACGAUGUGAACUUAGUGUCGGUGGGGUUAAAUCCAUCGGUACUGAAGCUAACGCGAUAAGUUCACCGCCUGGGGACUACGGCCGCAAGGUUAAAACUCAAAGGAAUUGACGG
rnacentral:rRNA from 1 species